rnacentral:rRNA from 1 species
CAGCAGCCACGGUAAUACAGAGGGUGCGAGCGUUAAUCGGAUUUACUGGGCGUAAAGCGUGCGUAGGCGGCUUUUUAAGUCGGAUGUGAAAUCCCUGAGCUUAACUUAGGAAUUGCAUUCGAUACUGGGAAGCUAGAGUAUGGGAGAGGAUGGUAGAAUUCCAGGUGUAGCGGUGAAAUGCGUAGAGAUCUGGAGGAAUACCGAUGGCGAAGGCAGCCAUCUGGCCUAAUACUGACGCUGAGGUACGAAAGCAUGGGGAGCAAACAGGAUUAGAUACCCCUGUAGUCCCUGUCUCUUAUAA